rnacentral:sRNA from 1 species
UAUUCUCCCGUCCGGGGAAGGAUGAGAACCUUCGAUUAAGGUUCGACCCGAACGUAUGUGAGGGAACGUUGCUUCAGCAACGGCCCGCAGGGCGAGGAACGCAGUGACGAGUUAUCCUUCCCCCACCACCA